UACCUUGCGUAAGCAUGGACGCCCGGCCAAUGAAUCAGUCCCUCCAGAAAAAUGUGAUUGUGCAAUCGCAUAAUUCAAUUCAUAAUCAGCCAAAGUCUAUUAAUAAUUGUG